rnacentral:lncRNA from 1 species
CAUACAUACAUGUAGACAUGCACACAUACAUGCAUAUUUAAAGGAUUUAACAGAUGUGUGUAAACAUACAGACAUAUGAUUAAAACUAGAAACAAAGAAUUACAACAAAGUGAUAUCUUAAUUAUAGAGAAUAAGAACUUAAGAAAUAUUAUUGAAGAUAUGAAGAACCAUAAAUUAUUAUUAGAAUCGAAGAUCACAAAAAAAAAUAAAAUAAUUGAUGUGAUUAAGGAAAAAUACCAAAAAAAAUAUAUCAAGGUGAUUAAAUAUUUAUUUUCUCUUUGUUAAAAAAACUUCAUUAUAAUUUUACAGAUGUCUAUAUGCAUAAGUUCAUGUAUCCGUGUUGUACGUAUCAUUUCUUUUGACCGUCUUCAAUAUAUAAAAAUCACGUAAACAUUUUGCUGUUUUUAGAAUAUUAGAAAAGUUUAAUGAAAAGGAUAAAUGCAUUAACGAGUUUCGAAGUUAUGUUAUUCACGGUAUGAGAAAAUAAAAGAAAAAAAAAAAAAAAAAUUCA